GAGUUUGAUCCUGGCUCAGAUUGAACGCUGGCGGCAGGCCUAACACAUGCAAGUCGAACGGUAGCACAGAGAGCUUGCUCUCGGGUGACGAGUGGCGGACGGGUGAGUAAUGUCUGGGAAACUGCCCGAUGGAGGGGGAUAACUACUGGAAACGGUAGCUAAUACCGCAUAACGUCGCAAGACCAAAGAGGGGGACCUUCGGGCCUCUUGCCAUCGGAUGUGCCCAGAUGGGAUUAGCUUGUAGGUGAGGUAACGGCUCACCUAGGCGACGAUCCCUAGCUGGUCUGAGAGGAUGACCAGCCACACUGGAACUGAGACACGGUCCAGACUCCUACGGGAGGCAGCAGUGGGGAAUAUUGCACAAUGGGCGCAAGCCUGAUGCAGCCAUGCCGCGUGUAUGAAGAAGGCCUUCGGGUUGUAAAGUACUUUCAGCGGGGAGGAAGGGAGUGAGGUUAAUAACCUUAUUCAUUGACGUUACCCGCAGAAGAAGCACCGGCUAACUCCGUGCCAGCAGCCGCGGUAAUACGGAGGGUGCAAGCGUUAAUCGGAAUUACUGGGCGUAAAGCGCACGCAGGCGGUCUGUCAAGUCGGAUGUGAAAUCCCCGGGCUCAACCUGGGAACUGCAUUCGAAACUGGCAGGCUGGAGUCUUGUAGAGGGGGGUAGAAUUCCAGGUGUAGCGGUGAAAUGCGUAAGAUCUGGAGGAAUACCGGUGGCGAAGGCGGCCCCCUGAAAAACUGACGCUCAGGUGCGAAAGCGUGGGGAGCAAACAGGAUUAGAUACCCUAGUCCACGCUGUAAACGAUCGACUUGGAAGGUUGUUCCCUUGAGAGUGGCUUCCGGACUA
rnacentral:rRNA from 1 species